rnacentral:rRNA from 1 species
GAUGAACGCUGGCGGCGUGCCUAAUACAUGCAAGUCGAGCGAACGGACGAGAAGCUUGCUUCUCUGAUGUUAGCGGCGGACGGGUGAGUAACACGUGGAUAACCUACCUAUAAGACUGGGAUAACUUCGGGAAACCUGAGCUAAUACCGGAUAAUAUUUUGAACCGCAUGGUUCAAAAGUGAAAGACGGUCUUGCUGUCACUUAUAGAUGUAUCCGCGCUGCAUUAGCUAGUUGGUAAGGUAACGGCUUACCAAGGCAACGAUGCAUAGCCGACCUGAGAGGGUGAUCGGCCACACUGGAACUGAGACACGGUCCAGACUCCUACGGGAGGCAGCAGUAGGGAAUCUUCCGCAAUGGGCGAAAGCCUGACGGAGCAACGCCGCGUGAGUGAUGAAGGUCUUCGGAUCGUAAAACUCUGUUAUUAGGGAAGAACAUAUGUGUAAGUAACUGUGCACAUCUUGACGGUACCUAAUCAGAAAGCCACGGCUAACUACGUG